rnacentral:lncRNA from 1 species
UCUGUGUUUCUGGGCCAUCAGACGUCCCACUGGCACUGACGCUUGCCAGCUUUGCUACGUUGUUUGUAUCACAGGUGAGCUGAAGAUCCUCAGAUCUCAGCCCCUCUGUGCUUAGCAAAAUCCCAUUUCUCUUUCCGAUUUCACAGCCAUACUCAAAAGUAGUGCUCAACUGCUUGCCCAGGUCUACCUCAAAGGGGUCUUCUAAACUCUCUUUCGUGGCAUAUUCACUGCCCUAAGAUCUACCAAGAGUAGGAGGUAAGACUGGAGCCAUAGCUCCUUUCCCCAUCCUUGUUCACUUACAUAGAGCCCUUUUGCAGAACUGGAGUAAUUAGAUCAUUUGGCUUUGGUUGAGUAAUUUGUCUCUGCUGGAGGCAAACCCACGAAGUGGAUGAAGCUGGAAGCAACAGUGGUCUGUAUCGCCGUGAUGCCUGUCAUUCCCUGGUUGUAUUCUGAAGCCUUCGCAAACGAACAAGAACUGUUUGAGCGAGUCCUCAUUGCCCAGCAGUCUUUGGAAAUGAGCCUUAACCCUCGCUUUGGAUCGAGGGACUAAGAAACCUAAUGCCUGCUGACCUCAGGCCUCUGAGCCCAGCACCUUCUCUCUGGGCCACAACUCUCCGAAAGCAUGGUGAGUACCAGUAGGGUUAUUUUAAUGGCCAGGAACCCAUACAAAUCCCACUGGAAUUGUAGGAAUCAAUCUGAGUGUCCCUGUGCAACUGCGAGAGUAGCAGAGUGCUGAGAAUCAGGCAGGAUUGUGCACGUAGCUCAGUUCACAAAAAUGUGCCAGAUUAAUAGACACAAUCACUACCGACAUUGAGUAAGAGACAAGAACGACUAAUCAGAUGCUAACUUAGCUGAUGCUGGCAUUGGGGGCAUAGUCCAAGGAUAAAAACAUAACUUCUUAUCUAACCAAGGAGUCAUUUGUGCACCACUAAUUACAACGUGUUCUUAAAAAAGGAAAGGAAAAAAAUAUCUAUUGCACAUGAAAUUAUUUUAUGCCCCACAAAUGAUAAGGAAAUAAAGCUAAAUGUUCCUGCA